UGUGUAAUGCUUCUAGAUCAUGUUUUACUGCUAUCUUUCAAGUUAGUAAUGUUACAUUAUUUUUCUGACCUUAUUUGAAUUGUUCUUAAACUUGACAUUCAAGACCGCUAAUCAAACUCACUUUUGAAAGUCAUCAUCUCUUUUAUCCGAACUUGAAACUAAAGGCAAACUACAAAUUACUUAAGCAAAGUUGAUAGUGUGAUGUCAUUUAUUUAUGUUUAAUAAUUCA
rnacentral:misc_RNA from 1 species